rnacentral:rRNA from 1 species
GACGAACGCUGGUGGCGUGCCUAAUACAUGCAAGUCGAACGAACUCUGGUAUUGAUUGGUGCUUGCAUCAUGAUUUACAUUUGAGUGAGUGGCGAACUGGUGAGUAACACGUGGGAAACCUGCCCAGAAGAGGGGGAUAACACCUGGAAACAGAUGCUAAUACCGCAUAACAACUUGGACCGCAUGGUCCGAGUUUGAAAGAUGGCUUCGGCUAUCACUUUUGGAUGGUCCCGCGGCGUAUUAGCUAGAUGGUGAGGUAACGGCUCACCAUGGCAAUGAUACGUAGCCGACCUGAGAGGGUAAUCGGCCACAUUGGGACUGAGACACGGCCCAAACUCCUACGGGAGGCAGCAGUAGGGAAUCUUCCACAAUGGACGAAAGUCUGAUGGAGCAACGCCGCGUGAGUGAAGAAGGGUUUCGGCUCGUAAAACUCUGUUGUUAAAGAAGAACAUAUCUGAGAGUAACUGUUCAGGUAUUGACGGUAUUUAACCAGAAAGCCACGGCUAACUACGUGCCAGCAGCCGCGGUAAUACGUAGGUGGCAAGCGUUGUCCGGAUUUAUUGGGCGUAAAGCGAGCGCAGGCGGUUUUUUAAGUCUGAUGUGAAAGCCCUCGGCUUAACCGAGGAAGCGCAUCGGAAACUGGGAAACUUGAGUGCAGAAGAGGACAGUGGAACUCCAUGUGUAGCGGUGAAAUGCGUAGAUAUAUGGAAGAACACCAGUGGCGAAGGCGGCUGUCUGGUCUGUAACUGACGCUGAGGCUCGAAAGCAUGGGUAGCGAACAGGAUUAGAUACCCUGGUAGUCCAUGCCGUAAACGAUGAAUGCUAGGUGUUGGAGGGUUUCCGCCCUUCAGUGCCGCAGCUAACGCAUUAAGCAUUCCGCCUGGGGAGUACGACCGCAAGGUUGAAACUCAAAGGAAUUGACGGGGGCCCGCACAAGCGGUGGAGCAUGUGGUUUAAUUCGAAGCUACGCGAAGAACCUUACCAGGUCUUGACAUACUAUGCAAAUCUAAGAGAUUAGACGUUCCCUUCGGGGACAUGGAUACAGGUGGUGCAUGGUUGUCGUCAGCUCGUGUCGUGAGAUGUUGGGUUAAGUCCCGCAACGAGCGCAACCCUUAUUAUCAGUUGCCAGCAUUAAGUUGGGCACUCUGGUGAGACUGCCGGUGACAAACCGGAGGAAGGUGGGGAUGACGUCAAAUCAUCAUGCCCCUUAUGACCUGGGCUACACACGUGCUACAAUGGAUGGUACAACGAGUUGCGAACUCGCGAGAGUAAGCUAAUCUCUUAAAGCCAUUCUCAGUUCGGAUUGUAGGCUGCAACUCGCCUACAUGAAGUCGGAAUCGCUAGUAAUCGCGGAUCAGCAUGCCGCGGUGAAUACGUUCCCGGGCCUUGUACACACCGCCCGUCACACCAUGAGAGUUUGUAACACCCAAAGUCGGUGGGGUAACCUUUUAGGAACCAGCCGCCUAAGGUGGGACAGAUGAUUAGGGUG